rnacentral:rRNA from 1 species
UACGUAGGGGGCAAGCGUUGCCCGGAUUUAUUGGGCGUAAAGAGCGUGUAGGCGGCCAUGUAGGUCCGUUGUGAAAACUCGAGGCUCAACCUCGAGACGCCGAUGGAAACCAUGUGGCUAGAGUCCGGAAGAGGAGAGUGGAAUUCCUGGUGUAGCGGUGAAAUGCGCAGAUAUCAGGAAGAACACCAAUGGCGAAAGCAGCUCUCUGGGACGGUACUGACGCUGAGACGCGAAAGCGUGGGGAGCGAACAGG